AUUGAACGCUGGCGGCAGGCCUAACACAUGCAAGUCGAGCGAGCGGCGGACGGGUGAGUAAUGUAUGGGCAUAUGCCCGAUGGAGGGGGAUAACUACUGGAAACUGUGGCUAAUACCGCAUACUAUCGGAUGAACCCAGAUGGGAUUUGCUAGUAGGUGGGGUAAAGGCUCACCUAGGCGACGAUCCCUAGCUGGUCUGAGAGGAUGACCAGCCACACUGGAACUGAGACACGGCCCAGACUCCUACGGGAGGCAGCAGUGGGGAAUAUUGCACAAUGGGCGCAAGCCUGAUGCAGCCAUGCCGCGUGUAUGAAGAAGGCCUUCGGGUUGUAAAGUACUUUCAGCGGGGAGGCGUUACCCGCAGAAGAAGCACCGGCUAACUCCGUGCCAGCCGCCGCGGUAAUUC
rnacentral:rRNA from 1 species